rnacentral:rRNA from 1 species
UACGGAGGGGGCAAGCGUUGUUCGGAUUUACUGGGCGUAAAGGGUGUGUAGGCGGCUGGAUAAGUCUGGCGUGAAAUCUUCACCGCUUAACGGGAAGGGGUCGCUGGAAACUGUUCAGCUUGAGUAUGGUAGAGGCAAGCGGAAUUCCUGGUGUAGCGGUGGAAUGUGUAGAUAUCAGGAAGAACACCGGUGGCGAAGGCGGCUCUCUGGUCCGUUUCUGACGCUGAUGUGCGAAAGCCAGGGUAGCGAACGGGG